rnacentral:rRNA from 1 species
UACGGAGGGAGCAAGCGUUACUCGGAAUUAUUGGGCGUAAAGGGCGCGUAGGCGAUUUGAAAAGUCUUGUGUGAAAGCCCCGAGCUUAACUCGGGAAGUGCACAAGAAACUGUUGAAUUUGAGUUCCGGAGAGGAAGGCAGAAUUCCCGGUGUAGCGGUGAAAUGCGUAGAUAUCGGGAGGAAUACCAGUGGCGAAGGCGGCCUUCUGGACGGAUACUGACGCUGAGGCACGAAAGCGUGGGGAGCAAACAGG